AAUGUGACAAUAUAUGACUGGGAUAUAGUGUGGAAGAGUGCAAUCCUUGGUUAAGUUACUGUUCCAGUUGAAAGUGUAGGUGAAAGCACCCCAGUAUGGCAUACAUUAGACAGGGAACCUGGACAGGUUUGUCUACACAUUACAACACAAAAAUCACCUGUAAAUUCUUCCAGGCGUGUAAAUGGAUAUGCUGGAGCUGGAGCUCGAAGAAGGGUCACUUCAGAAAAACAAGGGCCUAUAGUG